UACGUAGGGAGCAAGCGUUGUCCGGAAUCAUUGGGCGUAAAGCGCGCGUAGGCGGCCCGGUAAGUCCGCUGUGAAAGUCAAAGGCUCAACCUUUGAAUGUCAGCGGAUACUGCCGGGCUAGAGUCCGGAAGAGGAGAGUGGAAUUCCUGGUGUAGCGGUGAAAUGCGCAGAUAUCAGGAAGAACACCCGUGGCGAAGGCGGCUCUCUGGGACGGUACUGACGCUGAGACGCGAAAGCGUGGGGAGCGAACAGG
rnacentral:rRNA from 1 species